rnacentral:tRNA from 1 species
GGGAAUAUAGCUUAGUGGUAGAGUAUUUGCCUAACACGCAUGAAGCCCUGGGUUUGACUCCUCAGUACCA